GAUCCUGGCUUAGGACGAACGCUGGCGGUGUGCCUCAUACAUGCAAGUCGAACGAUAAGGUUUCUUCGGAAAUACAUAAGUGGCGGACGGGUGAGUACAACAUAGGAAAUCUGCCCUAAACCGGGGGACAACAGAGGGAAACUUCUGCUAAUACCCCAUACGAGCUUAGUUGAAAUACUAAUCUUGAAAGCUCCGGCGGUUUAGGAUGAGCCUGUGCCUGAUUAGCUGGUUGGUGGUGUAAUGGACUACCAAGGCGACGAUCAGUAGCUGGUUCGAGAGGAUGAUCAGCCACAAUGGGACUGAGACACGGCCCAUACUCCUACGGGAGGCAGCAGUAGGGAAUUUUGCGCAAUGGGCGAAAGCCCUGACGCAGCAACACCGCGUGAAUGUUAAGCCCUUCGGGGUGUAAAGUUCUGUCAGUAGGGAAGAACAAAUGACUGUACCUACAAAGGAAGCACCGGCUAACUCCGUGCCAGCCGCGGC
rnacentral:rRNA from 1 species